UGGCAAUGAUUAAAUAUUAUCCGCGCUUCUGAGAAGUAUCUUUGAAGAUGAAAGGGUAAAUGGUUGAAUUUCUUGAUAUGAGCCA